rnacentral:rRNA from 1 species
AUUGAACGCUGGCGGCAGGCCUAACACAUGCAAGUCGAGCGGUAGAGAGAAGCUUGCUUCUCUUGAGAGCGGCGGACGGGUGAGUAAAGCCUAGGAAUCUGCCUGGUAGUGGGGGAUAACGUUCGGAAACGGACGCUAAUACCGCAUACGUCCUACGGGAGAAAGCAGGGGACCUUCGGGCCUUGCGCUAUCAGAUGAGCCUAGGUCGGAUUAGCUAGUUGGUGAGGUAAUGGCUCACCAAGGCGACGAUCCGUAACUGGUCUGAGAGGAUGAGCAGUCACACUGGAACUGAGACACGGUCAAGACUCCUACGGGAGGCAGCAGUGGGGAAUAUUGGACAAUGGGCGAAAGCCUGAUCCAGCCAUGCCGCGUGUGUGAAGAAGGUCUUCGGAUUGUAAAGCACUUUAAGUUGGGAGGAAGGGCAUUAACCUAAUACGUUAGUGUUUUGACGUUACCGACAGAAUAAGCACCGGCUAACUCUGUGCCAGCCGCCGCGGUAA